ACACCAUUACUUCAAUAUCCCUUUCUUGUUUUUCCUUGGAUAGGUUUUAACAAGAUAGAACUCUAGAUCACUUGGGUCCAAAGACGCUAGAUUAUAAAAUCCUGAUGUGACUUGAUGCUACAAAUAGAAUAUGUCUUAUGAUUUAAUACUACAAAUAGAAUGUAUUUUAAUUACAAACUUCAAUGAAUUGAUAAAGUGUAAGGAUAGUGUUUAAAGUCGCUUCAUGUGUAGAAGCUGAAUUUAGUUUAUACACUGUAUUGUCGAGAUCACAUGUUGAUAUGACUUAGUAGCAACUUGCAUAAGUGGUCUGUACUCUGUUCUGCUUGGACAUUAGAACAUUGUAAUUGCCUGACAGAGACUGUUAGGGCCUGUUUGUAUGGAAGCCGGGCUGGCCUGCUUAGCAAGACAGCCCGGUAAGGUAGGUAAGCAGGAUGAUUUCUCUUGUGUUUAUUUGAGAAAAUUUCAUCCCACUUACCGGGACAAUUUUGUUGUUUUGACAUUAUUUUGACAGUUGUUAAAAAUAGCUUGCGGCAGUAUCUUUGAACUUUCAUCCCGGCAACCGGGCUAGCCUG